rnacentral:rRNA from 1 species
CCAGAGAACUUUCCAGAGAUGGAUUGGUGCCUUCGGGAACUCUGAGACAGGUGCUGCAUGGCUGUCGUCAGCUCGUGUUGUGAAAUGUUGGGUUAAGUCCCGCAACGAGCGCAACCCUUAUCCUUUGUUGCCAGCGGUUAGGCCGGGAACUCAAAGGAGACUGCCAGUGAUAAACUGGAGGAAGGUGGGGAUGACGUCAAGUCAUCAUGGCCCUUACGAGUAGGGCUACACACGUGCUACAAUGGCGCAUACAAAGAGAAGCGACCUCGCGAGAGCAAGCGGACCUCAUAAAGUGCGUCGUAGUCCGGAUUGGAGUCUGCAACUCGACUCCAUGAAGUCGGAAUCGCUAGUAAUCGUGGAUCAGAAUGCCACGGUGAAUACGUUCCCGGGCCUUGUACACACCGCCCGUCACACCAUGGGAGUGGGUUGCAAAAGAAGUAGGUAGCUUAACCUUCGGGAGGGCGCUUACCACUUUGUGAUUCAUGAUUGGGGUGAAGUCGUAACAAGGUAAGCGUAGUGCU